GGCCGUUUCGUUUAUCGGUUAGGACGCAAGAUUUUCAUUCUUGAAAGGAAGGUUCGAUUCCUUCAUCGGCUA
rnacentral:tRNA from 1 species